UUAACUUGCUAUUUUGAAGGCUGAGAAAUCCAUCACGUUAUAUUGAUGUGUAUCUGGUUUGUUGACAAUGCUACGAAUACCAACCAGUGCUAUGAACAGGGUGUGUGGCCACGAGCAAGGCAGGUGAAGCCCUGUCCUCACAGUGCCAUGAACAAGGUGUGUGGCCACGAGCAAGGCAGGUGAAGACCUGUCCUCACAGUGCCAUGAACAGGGUGUGUGGUCACGGGCAAGGCAGGUGAAGUCCUGCCCUCACAGUGCCAUGAACAGGGUGUGUGGUCACGGGCAAGGCAGGUGAAGUCCUGCCCUCACAGUGCCAUGAACAGGGUGUGUGGUCACGGGCAAGGCAGGUGAAGUCCUGCCCUCACAGUGCCAUGAACAGGGUGUGUGGCCAUGAGCAAGGCAGGUGAAGCCCUGUCCUCACAGUGCUGGGGUUUCUCUGAUUACUGCUAGGCAUGUAAUGCUAAGCAUAUUUUCUUUCUGGUCUAUCAGCCUAGUUUCUUCUGAUGUGUAUUCCUGCCUUAUGGCCUUUCUCCAUGUUUCUAUCAUAUUUUAGUCCUAUUCAUAUUUAUUUGUAGUUAAUUUGUUUUUUGAGAUAGAGUCUUGCUCUGUUGCCCAGGCUGGAGUACAGUGGCGUGAUCUCGGCUCACUGCAACCUCCACCUCCUGGGUUGAUGAGAUUCUCCUGUCUCAGCCUCCUGAGUAGCUGGGAUUACAGGCGCCCACCAUCACGGCUGGC
rnacentral:lncRNA from 1 species